CAAAUAUGUACCUAAAGAAAUCUACCUAUCCCUGCAUGAUUCCCUGAAGCAUUCAUUGGGUGUGGAGGAAGAAAUUGCUUCAGGCACUGAGUGAUCUGACCCAUGACCAGAAACCUGAAUCCAGCAAAGGACAAAGUUGCGCACAUUGCGUCAGAUACAAUUUCUGCCAUUUACCAGGAAGAACUAGGGGAACCAGGAGAAGGGCCACCUGCUUGGGGCGGUUUUGGAUGUUGCUGCCAAGGGCAGUCAGCUCAUUUGACUCUAUCUACUAUGCUGCAUUUGAGAUUUUGUCAAUGCCAUUGAAUACAAAGGUGAAAGCAAGAGCCCAUAAAUAUGGCUGCAUCAAAAAGACAUGCAUAGAAUGGUGAAAAAUUUGAGUUGCUUGAUGUUCACAUUUCUCGGCUGAGGUUGAAUGAGGCUCCAGAAACUGACCAGCAAGCCUGCAGACCAGCAGAUGGAUGGAGGAAUGACGGGGCAGAGAAAGGGAGAAGAGGAGGAACAUCUGAACGCCAAGAGGAAUAAGGCUGGGGGCAGUCCGAAAGGAUUCUGUUUGCUGGGCGGCCCGACCCCAGGGGAGGAUCAUUUUCCCACUCCAUCCCCUGCUUCUGACUCCCCAUUUAUCCUGCUGAAAGUCACCUCCACCUCCACCUCCACCACUCAAUAAAACUUCGCAUUCAUCCUUCGAGUUCGUGCGUGACCCGAUUUUUCCGGGAGGCUGGACAAAAGCCCGGGAUACGGAAAGCUGUCACGCUGGCCCUCUGCCCUUGCAAAAAGGCAGAGGGUCCAUUGAGCUGAUUAACACUAAAGCCAUCUGUGGAGAGCAAAGCUGAAAGAGCUCUGUAACACUGGGGUUGCAGGAAACCACCUCUAGACUGUACCGCCGGGCUGGAGCCCAAAGCGCUCUUCCGGCCUGUAUACCUGCUAAUCUGCACGCUCCCCGUCUUUCAAGAGGUUUGAGCAGCAGGGCUACUGAACAGGCAAGCCACACUUCUGUUGCACAUCCUGUGAGGGGAAUCAGGGACCUGUCUGGUUGCAAAGGAAUUACAGACAUGAGCCACUGUGUCUGACCCAUUUAUCUUAAAUUUAAGGGGAUAACAAUGCGGGAAGCUGGAAUCUAGAGGAACCACAGUAACUUUGAUCUCUAGCUGUGAGGAAGAACAUGCCUGCUUCCCAAGUGACCAUCCUCCCAGCACCAUGAUAUCUAUGAGAUCAAGGGCUCCAGAGAUUACAGAGACAGCUUUUGGCGAGUGUCAGUGUCCAGGUUGACUGCUGGACAUUUCCUGCCAAUGUGUUCUAGGGAG
rnacentral:lncRNA from 1 species